GGAAACUUGGAAACUACCGUUGAAUCGAGAAAUGGACGUCCGAGAUUCGUCCACGUCACCAUGAGUUAAAAUUUAACUCGCAGAUUCACUCAUGAAUUAAAAUUUUACUAGGAGUUAAAUUUUAACUUAUGGUGACGUGGAUGAAUCUCGGACAUCUAUUUCUCGAUCCAACAGUAGUUUCCAAGUUUCC
rnacentral:pre_miRNA from 1 species